GCUGUUAUAGCAAAAUCCGGUCUUGCUAGAGACCUAAACUCUCUCCAUAAAAGUUCAAAUCUUUUUACCAGCU
rnacentral:tRNA from 1 species